rnacentral:rRNA from 1 species
AAAGUCUGACGGAGCAACGCCGCGUGAGUGAUGAAGGUUUUCGGAUCGUAAAACUCUGUUGUCAGGGAAGAACAAGUACCGGAGUAACUGCCGGUACCUUGACGGUACCUGACCAGAAAGCCACGGCUAACUACGUGCCAGCAGCCGCGGUAAUACGUAGGUGGCAAGCGUUGUCCGGAAUUAUUGGGCGUAAAGCGCGCGCAGGCGGUUCCUUAAGUCUGAUGUGAAAGCCCCCGGCUCAACCGGGGAGGGUCAUUGGAAACUGGGGAACUUGAGUGCAGAAGAGAAGAGUGGAAUUCCACGUGUAGCGGUGAAAUGCGUAGAGAUGUGGAGGAACACCAGUGGCGAAGGCGACUCUUUGGUCUGUAACUGACGCUGAGGCGCGAAAGCGUGGGGAGCAAACAGGAUUAGAUACCCUGGUAGUCCACGCCGUAAACGAUGAGUGCUAAGUGUUAGAGGGUUUCCGCCCUUUAGUGCUGCAGCAAACGCAUUAAGCACUCCGCCUGGGGAGUACGGCCGCAAGGCUGAAACUCAAAAGGAAUUGACGGGGGCC